rnacentral:lncRNA from 1 species
GUGAUGGAGCUCGAGACAUAUUCGGCAGUCCUGGCAAAGGCGCAGAUCAUAGAAAUGAGCUUCGACACCCGCCCUCAGCUAACGGGAAGUUCCCGACCUUCAGCCCCGCUCCGCAGGCCAGCGCAUACCAUGCCGGUCCAACCCAGUAAGAGACCCAGGCCUGCCGUUCAGGGCCCUCCUCAGGCUAUGGGGGCAGCUCG